rnacentral:rRNA from 1 species
AAUAUUUGAAAAUGGUGGCAACCCUGAUCCAGCCAUGCCGCGUGUGUUAAGAAUGUCUUAUGAAUGUAAAGCACUUUAAUUUGAGAGAAAUGGCUUUAGAUUAAUACCCUUAAGUUUUGACGUUACCAACAGAAUAAGCACCGUCUAACUCUGUGCCACCAGCCGCGGUAAUACAGAGUGUCCAAUCGUUAAUCGGAAUUACUGUGAGUAAAGCGCGGGUAGGUGGUUCAGUAAGAUGGGUGUGAAAUCCCCGGGCUUAACCUGGGAACUGCUUUCAUAACUGCUGAGCUAGAGUACGGUAGAGGGUAGUGGAAUUUCCUGUGUAGCGGUGAAAUGCGUAGAUAUAGGAAGGAACACCAGUGGCGAAGGCGACUACCUGGACUGAUACUGACACUGAGGUGCGAAAGCGUGGGGAGCAAAC